UCCGUGUUCACCACGGCAGUCUCCUUAGAGAGCCCAACUGAAUGCUGGCAACACGCCACGGGGGUUGCGCUCGUUGCGGGACUUAACCCAACAUCUCACGACACGAGCUGACGACAGCCAUGCAGCAUCUGUGGUGCACCCUCGAAGGUCACACGUUUCCGUGCGCUUGCAGCACCAUGUCAAGCCCAGGUAAGGUUCUUCGCGUUGCAUCGAAUUAAAGAACAUGCUCCGCUGCUUGUGCGGGCCCCCGUCAAUUCUUUUGAGUUUUAGCCUUGCGGCCGUAGUCCCCAGGCGGUCGACUUAAUGCGUUAGCGGCGGCGCCGAGGGGGUCGAUACCCCCGACACCUAGUCGACAUCGUUUACGGCGUGGACUAC
rnacentral:misc_RNA from 1 species